AUGUCAUCCGGUAGCCAUGGCAGCUCUGCCUCUUCUCGUUUCCGGAGCGGAGGUACCUCUCCCAUCCCGUAUCGCGUGCACCCCAUGGACUACGAGCCUUCCGUUAACUGCUACUGCGGCCGAAAGGCACCGCUCCUGACCUCUUGGACCGACGCCAAUCCCGGCCGGAGGUACCUGUGCUGUUCACGGGCGACGCAGGGAUGCGGGUUCUGGCGCUGGUUUGACCCGAGGGCUAGCCCCUACCUUAGACAGCUACUCCUCGAUCUGCGAAGCAAGAUCGUUCGCAUGGAGGGCAAGAACGCACUACUGCACAUGUCUCUGGAGCAAGCCCUGUGCAAAGCAAGGCGCUGA
rnacentral:rRNA from 1 species